CCUACGGGAGGCAGCAGUGAGGAAUAUUGGUCAAUGGCCGUAAGGCUGAACCAGCCAAGUCGCGUGAAGGAAGAAGGUUCUAUGGUUUGUAAACUUCUUUUAUCGGGGAAUAAAGGUAUCCACGUGUGGACAGUUGCAUGUACCCUAUGAAUAAGCAUCGGCUAACUCCGUGCCAGCAGCCGCGGUAAUACGGAGGAUGCGAGCGUUAUCCGGAUUUAUUGGGUUUAAAGGGUGCGUAGGUGGUUUUUUAAGUCAGCGGUGAAAGUUUGUGGCUCAACCACAGAACUGCCGUUGAAACUGGAAGACUUGAGUGUGUGUGAGGUAGGCGGAAUGCGUGGUGUAGCGGUGAAAUGCAUAGAUAUCACGCAGAACUCCGAUUGCGAAGGCAGCAUACUAAGCCCAAACUGACACUGAGGCACGAAAGCGUGGGGAUCGAACAGGAUUAGAUACCCUUGUAGUC
rnacentral:rRNA from 1 species